UACGUAGGGUGCAAGCGUUGUCCGGAAUUAUUGGGCGUAAAGAGCUCGUAGGCGGUUUGUCGCGUCGGCUGUGAAAGCCCGGAGCUCAACUCCGGGUCUGCAGUCGAUACGGGCAGACUUGAGUGUUGCAGGGGAGACUGGAAUUCCUGGUGUAGCGGUGAAAUGCGCAGAUAUCAGGAGGAACACCGGUGGCGAAGGCGGGUCUCUGGGCCGUAACUGACGCUGAGGAGCGAAAGCAUGGGGAGCGAACAGG
rnacentral:rRNA from 1 species